rnacentral:rRNA from 1 species
GAACGCCGGCGGCGUGCCUAAUACAUGCAAGUCGAGCGAAUGGAUUAAGAGCUUGCUCUUAUGAAGUUAGCGGCGGACGGGUGAGUAACACGUGGGUAACCUACCCAUAAGACUGGGAUAACUCCGGGAAACCGGGGCUAAUACCGGAUAAUAUUUUGAACUGCAUAGUUCGAAAUUGAAAGGCGGCUUCGGCUGUCACUUAUGGAUGGACCCGCGUCGCAUUAGCUAGUUGGUGAGGUAACGGCUCACCAAGGCGACGAUGCGUAGCCGACCUGAGAGGGUGAUCGGCCACACUGGGACUGAGACACGGCCCAGACUCCUACGGGAGGCAGCAGUAGGGAAUCUUCCGCAAUGGACGAAAGUCUGACGGAGCAACGCCGCGUGAGUGAUGAAGGCUUUCGGGUCGUAAAACUCUGUUGUUAGGGAAGAACAAGUGCUAGUUGAAUAAGCUGGCACCUUGACGGUACCUAACCAGAAAGCCACGGCUAACUACGUGCCAGCAGCCGCGGUAAUACGUAGGUGGCAAGCGUUAUCCGGAAUUAUUGGGCGUAAAGCGCGCGCAGGUGGUUUCUUAAGUCUGAUGUGAAAGCCCACGGCUCAACCGUGGAGGGUCAUUGGAAACUGGGAGACUUGAGUGCAGAAGAGGAAAGUGGAAUUCCAUGUGUAGCGGUGAAAUGCGUAGAGAUAUGGAGGAACACCAGUGGCGAAGGCGAC